GACGUAGGGCGCGAGCGUUGUCCGGAUUUAUUGGGCGUAAAGAGCUCGUAGGCGGCUUGUCGCGUCGGCUGUGAAAACCCGCGGCUCAACUGUGGGCGGGCAGCUGAUACGGGCAGGCUGGAGUUCGGUAGGGGAGACUGGAAUUCCUGGUGUAGCGGUGGAAUGCGUAGAGAUCCGGAGGAACACCAGCGGCGAAGGCGGCGUCCUGGACUGGUACUGACGCUCAGGAGCGAAAGCGUGGGGAGCGAUCCGG
rnacentral:rRNA from 1 species